UACUAUAGCUUGACACUGAACAUUGAGCCUUGAUGUGUAGGAUAGGUGGGAGGCUUUGAAGUGUGGACGCCAGUCUGCAUGGAGCCGACCUUGAAAUACCACCCUUUAAUGUUUGAUGUUCUAACGUGGACCCGUGAUCCGGGUUGCGGACAGUGUCUGGUGGGUAGUUUGACUGGGGCGGUCUCCUCCUAAAGAGUAACGGAGGAGCACGAAGGUUGGCUAAUCCUGGUCGGACAUCAGGAGGUUAGUGCAAUGGCAUAAGCCAGCUUGACUG
rnacentral:rRNA from 1 species